AUUGAACGCUGGCGGAAUGCUUUACACAUGCAAGUCGAGCGGCAGCGCGGCCUUCGGGCUGGCGGCGAGCGGCGAACGGGUGAGUAAUGCAUCGGAACAUGCCCAGUCGCGGGGGAUAACACUUCGAAAGAAGUGCUAAUACCGCAUACGUCCUGAGGGGGAAAGCGGGGGAUCGCAAGACCUCGCGCGAUUGGAGUGGCCGAUGUUAGAUUAGCUAGUUGGUGGGGUAAAGGCCUACCAAGGCGACGAUCUGUAGCUGGUCUGAGAGGAUGAUCAGCCACACUGGGACUGAGACACGGCCCAGACUCCUACGGGAGGCAGCAGUGGGGAAUUUUGGACAAUGGGGGCAACCCUGAUCCAGCCAUUCCGCGUGAGUGAAGAAGGCCUUCGGGUUGUAAAGCUCUUUCGGCAGGAACGAAACGGUGGGCUCUAACAUAGUCCGCUAAUGACGGUACCUGAAGAAGAAGCACCGGCUAACUACGUG
rnacentral:rRNA from 1 species